rnacentral:rRNA from 1 species
UCCUGACGGUAGUCGUAUGCUCGUCUCCGAGACUAAGCCAUGCAAGUCCAAGUACACGUCCUUGAACGACGGAAACUGCGAACGGCUCAUUAAAUUCAGUUGCGAUCUACUCGGCGUUCCGCGUCCGCCCGGAUAACCGUAGUAAUUCUAGGGCUAAUACGUGCGAAGCGCCCGAAGCCGCGAGGCGACGGGCGUUCUCGCCGGAUGUAGGAACCGACCCGGGGACCGCCGGGGCAACCCGGCGCCCCCGAGACGGGGCGAACCACGGUGAAUGACGGAUCGUCGGCCCCGCGCCGGCGACUCGCCGAAUGAGUUUCUGACCUAUCAACUCGAGACGGCGGGGUAGAGGCCCGCCGCGGUAACGACGGGUAACGGGGAAUCGAGGGUUCGAGUUCCGGAGAGGGAGCCCGAGAAACGGCUACCACUUCCAAGGAGGCAGCAGGCGCG